rnacentral:rRNA from 1 species
AACGAACGCUGGCGGCAUGCCUAACACAUGCAAGUCGAACGGGAUCCUGGCUUCGGUCAGGUGAGAGUGGCGGACGGGUGAGUAACGCGUGGGAACCUGCCCAGUGGUGGGGGAUAACUGCGGGAAACUGCAGCUAAUACCGCAUGAGCCCGAGAGGGGAAAGAUUUAUUGCCAUUGGAGGGGCCCGCGUUCGAUUAGGUAGUUGGUGGGGUAACGGCCUACCAAGCCGACGAUCGAUAGCUGGUCUGAGAGGAUGAUCAGCCACACUGGGACUGAGAUACGGCCCAGACUCCUACGGGAGGCAGCAGUGGGGAAUAUUGGACAAUGGGGGCAACCCUGAUCCAGCAAUGCCGCGUGAGUGAUGAAGGCCUUCGGGUUGUAAAGCUCUUUUGCCAGGGACGAUGAUGACGGUACCUGGAGAAUAAGCCCCGGCUAACUUCGUGCCAGCAGCCGCGGUAA